rnacentral:rRNA from 1 species
AGAGACAGCAGUAGCCGCGGUAAUACGGAGGGUGCAAGCGUUAAUCGGAAUUACUGGGCGUAAAGCGCACGCAGGCGGUCUGUCAAGUCAGAUGUGAAAUCCCCGGGCUUAACCUGGGAACUGCAUUUGAAACUGGCAGGCUAGAGUCUUGUAGAGGGGGGUAGAAUUCCAGGUGUAGCGGUGAAAUGCGUAGAGAUCUGGAGGAAUACCGGUGGCGAAGGCGGCCCCCUGGACAAAGACUGACGCUCAGGUGCGAAAGCGUGGGGAGCAAACAGGAUUAGAUACCCGGGUAGUCCCUGUCUCUUAUAC